rnacentral:tRNA from 1 species
CCGAUAUAGCUCAGUUGGUAGAGCAGCUGAUUUGUAAUCAGCCGGUCGCCGGUUCGAGUCCGUCUAUCGG